GUGGGGAAUAUUGGGCAAUGGGCGAAAGCCUGACCCAGCAACGCCGCGUGAAGGAAGAAGGUCUUCGGAUCGUAAACUUCUAUCCUUGGUGAAGAUAAUGACGGUAGCCGAGAAGGAAGCCCCGGCUAACUACGUGCCAGCAGCCGCGGUAAUACGUAGGGGGCAAGCGUUGUCCGGAAUGAUUGGGCGUAAAGGGCGCGUAGGCGGCCUGGUAAGUCUGGAGUGAAAGUCCUGCUUUUAAGGUGGGAAUUGCUUUGGAUACUGUCGGGCUUGAGUGCAGGAGAGGUAAGUGGAAUUCCCGGUGUAGCGGUGAAAUGCGUAGAGAUCGGGAGGAACACCAGUGGCGAAGGCGACUUACUGGACUGUAACUGACGCUGAGGCGCGAAAGCCAGGGGAGCGAACGGGAUUAGAAACCCCGGUAGUCC
rnacentral:rRNA from 1 species